GCGUUCCAGCUUUCCUUUUGGAGACAAUAUAAGGUCUAAACAAGAGGAAGAUUCUGAGGGGAGAUCUCAUUUUGGUCUUCAGCAUCCUCAUAAGAAUACUGGACAUAUUAAGCCACCAGAGUGAAGCUGUAAUACAGUAAGGGUCUCACAGCUUUAUAAUACAGGCCUUAUUUUUUCAUGAAAAAACUUUGCAGUUCAAUUUGUUCUGCAUAUGGU